rnacentral:rRNA from 1 species
UUUUUAGUGGCGAACGGGUGCGUAACACGUAAGAAUCUGCCUUUAGGAAGGGGAUAACAUUUAGAAAUAUUUGCUAAUACCCUAUAUGCUUCACAGUGAAAGAAUUUAUUCGCCUAAAGAGGAGCUUGCGUCUGAUUAGCUAGUUGGUAGGGUAAAGGCCUACCAAGGCGACGAUCAGUAGUUGGUCUGAGAGGACGGCCAGCCACAUUGGAACUGAGACACGGUCCAGACUCUUACGGGAGGCAGCAGUGAGGAAUUUUCUGCAAUGGGCGAAAGCCUGACAGAGCAAUACCGCGUGAGGGAUGACUGCCUACGGGUUGUAAACCUCUUUUCUCAAGGAGGAAGAUCUGACGUUACUUGAGGAAUAAGCAUCGGCUAACCCUGUGCCAGCAGCCGCGGUAAUACAGGGGAUGCAAGUGUUAUCCGGAAUUAUUGGGCGUAAAGCGUCUGCAGGUUGAUCUAUAAGUCUUUUGUCAAAUCUUUGGGCUUAACCCAAAAACAGCAAAAGAAACUAUUUAUCUUGAGUAUGGUAGAGGUAAGGGGAAUUUCCAGUGGAGCGGUGAAAUGCGUAGAUAUUGGAAAGAACACCAACAGCGAAGGCACCUUACUGGGCCAUUACUGACACUCAGAGACGAAAGCUAGGGUAGCAAACGGGAUUAGAUACCCCGGUAGUCCUAGCUGUAAACGAUGGAUACUAGGUGUUGCGUACUUUAUAGUAUGCAGUGUCGUAGCUAACGC